rnacentral:lncRNA from 1 species
CUUUUGCUUUAAUAGUGUAAAUGAAACAAUAGGAUUGUAAUAGAGGACAUAGUGUAAUAAAUGCAACAAGUGAACUGGAGCAGAUUUUACAGGGACGCCAAAAAGGAGGCAGCUUCCUUCAUAGGAGAGUGUAAAAGAAAAAGAGGAAAUGUUCUUGAUAGGAUAAAUAGGUUAUUUCAACCUGUUAGGAGGUCGAAGGUAGAAUGGCUUCUUGAAAUGAGGAUAAAAGUUAAACAACGAAUAGCAUAGAAUGAAAUAUGCAGAGCAUAUUAGGAGAAUAACAUGCUCCUAAUUUUUAAUUGCUUUAUAACAGCAUUUUGCUAAACAAUAUUUUUUAUCUGUUGACAGUUUUCUUUUCUCUUGAACUUUAAAAUUGUUUAUUUAAUGAUUAUGGGUAUAUGUAUGCAUGUGAGCAUGUAUGUGUGCAUUUUUCUCUUUUUUAGUAUUUUCCCGGACCGGGGUAGCUUCUGGCCUUCAGAGCCCAAAUGCCCUCCCAUUUUCGACUGAAGAAAGAAAAGGACGAAUCCCUUCAAACACGAUCUCUUUCAUGAGCUCUUUGAUAGACUCUUUUUCUCCUCCUCUGCGCCAAAAUGAAUCCAACAGAAUUUCCGUGGCUCCCUCUCCUUACCCUGACCCCAUGUUAAUUGUUGCAACAAACGUUGCAACUCCAGUGUGAGCCAGAAGACAUGGAUGUCAUCGGGGGUCCCCAGUGUCUGAGGAAAGGAGAGGGGAAGGAUGACCCGUCACGGUUCAGAAGACAGAGACAAGCCUGCAAGUGUGCAAAGAGGGAAAAGACUGCAGGAAAUUCCACUUGAAAUGGGCCAUAAAAGUGCAUCUUUUGUAAUAUUUCAAUGUCUCUCUCAAUAUUUCCUCUAAUCACAACUUUCCAGUUUCAAGAACAAACCUCACUCCUUACUGACCAGUCUCAAUAUUUGUUUGUUUUCUAUAAAUUAAAAUCCAGUGUGUUGUCUUUAUCUGCAAUCCCUUCAUUAGUUCUUGUCUCUAAAAUCAACAUACUAUCAUAGUUAUCAAGACCAUGGGGUCAACCAAGAAACUGAUAGUAGCAUGUGUCGUCUAAAGAUGAGUGCUGAUAACUGGAAGGUCAGGUUUGAAAAACCCUUGUAAUCUGUCUGAGAAUUGAUUUGUCUGUAGCAAGCUCCCAUAACUUUUGAAGUGGAAACAUUAAAACUCUAAAACAAGAUCAGUCUAAACCAGGGAUUGACACUGUUUCAGAAUUAGGAUGCCAAGAUGCUGAGCACAUUCUUUUCCUAUCCUGCUGGCCGGGGAGCUAACACCACAAACAGUUUCCCCUUUUCCACAAUAAGCUUUCACCAUUCAUCAGGAUGCCGUUGACUGGAACAUGUUUCUCCCAUAAAUGCACAUGAUUGUGCUUUACUUCUACGUGGAGGCAUCAUUAAUGCCCUAAGGGAAUAUGAACUUUAGUGGAGGAUAGGGCACUGGAGUAGGUAAAUUUACUUUAGUGGGUAACUUUUGUUAAGUGGAAGGCAACAGAGUCACAAGGCAUCUGGAAGUUGGGAUUUGAAAAGGCGCACGGACAAAGAUGACAAAUUCCAGGCUUCCCUUUGCCAAAUGUCUUUUUGGGCCACACUUUCUGGUAUCUACUUUAAAUAUAAGUAUGAGAUCUUUGUGCCUGCUCUGUGUUUCCACUGAGGACUAAAUAUGACAGAAGUAUAUUUUAAUGCCAUUGUUACCUAUGGCCUCUGCAUUUCCUUCCUCCCUCCUUCCCUCCCUUUCUUUCUCCCUCCCUCCUUUUCUUCUUUUUUUUUUUAUUUCUUUUGCCUAAGAGAAUGGAAUCAAAUGCUGCUAGGCGAAUCACUGCGUUUAAUUAUCUUGUUCUUGCUCUUUCUGCUUUGCUCUUAAUAUCUAAUCGUAUCCUCCUGUUUAUUCUCUUCCUCUUUCCUAAGAACAGCACAUGAAUAAACUUU